GACGAAGGAUGCAAGCGUUAUCCGGAUUCAUUGGGUUUAAAGGGAGCGUAGGUGGCCUUAUAAGUCAGUGGUGAAAUCUCUCGGCUUAACCGAGAAAUUGCCAUUGAUACUGUAGGGCUUGAGUAUAGUUGCCGUUGGCGGAAUAUGACAUGUAGUGGUGAAAUACAUAGAGAUGUCAUAGAACACCGAUUGCGAAGGCAGCUAACGAAACUAUAACUGACACUGAGGCUCGAAAGUGCGGGGAGCAAACAGG
rnacentral:rRNA from 1 species